AUGCAAGGAAAGAAUGCAAUAUAAUAAGUCAACAAUAUAUAUUCUUACCAAGAUUAACAAAGGUCUUAGUGGCGUGAGCAGGUAACAUGAUGUCGACAUCAUUUUGAAGACACCUUGGAUUGAAAGAGUAUAAAAUGGGGGGCCUUAUAUGUUCACGGGGGAGCUGGAGUUUGGAGAGAUUGGUGCGAGUGGUGAUCUUUUGUCCCGUCUUUGUAUUUAUUUUGAUCUUAACACCUAUCAUUCUUGUAAUUGAAAGUGAGCAUACGGGAAGUUGGAUAUAAAAUAGGCAAACUCUGUAAGUCCAUUUGAGUUGAAUAAAAAUGAAUUUCGUUAAUUCUUUUGCAUUAUUACUUUCAGUUAUGAGUAGCUAAAUUAUUUUUCUAGGAUUAGAGAGGAAACCAUAUUAUGUAUGCUAGAGUGUUUUAGAUUAUUUUCUAUACUAUCGUUUCUCCAUGGCCCUUAUAUUCUUGUGUAGUAACGAUAAUAAUUAAUCUUUACGUGUCCUAAUGCUUGACUAAUGAGUUAUAUAUCUAUCAUAGAGACCAGCAUACUAGUGAAGAAAAUUAUUAGUCAUUUAAGAAUUUUUAUUAAUCUAAACGAUUUAUUUUCCGAAACGUACUUUGUGUCCUAAAUCGUCUUGAUAUUUCCGGAGAAAUUUUAAUUAUUUAACAUUCUAGUAUACACAAUAGCGGUGGAAUCUCGAAAUCCUGGAUUUUCGCCCUAUUUGAAUACAAAUCACCAUAUCAAUCUUUUGGUCUAUUUUAGCAAUUCUUGUUUAGUAUUUGUUUUUUCCUUCAUUAGUCCUAAAACCAAAUCUUUGAAGAGUCCGAGAAUCGAAUCCAUUUCUUACCACUUAUAAAAUCUACAUCAGUUUUUGGCGCUGCCGACGCGGACUUGCCUUUAGGUUAGGUUUAGAUUUUUAUUUUUAUUUCUUUUUUUUAGUUUUGUUUAAUUUUAUUUUAUUUUAUUUUAUUUUACUUGGGUAUUUUCUUGUUUUUAUUGUGCAGGUAAUAUUCAACAUUUAUUGUGGAAUUUCCUACCAAAAGAGGUAUUUAUAGAGAAAUAAGCUCUUGCGGCAAAAUUGGCUCGAAAAGUGGUGUUUUACACCCCAGGAUAAAAUUCUAAAGGCACCCUAGAAAUGCACCGGAAGCACCCCGAAAAUGUGCCAGAGAAACCCGAGAAAAAUUACUAUUUACGCCCAAAAAUUACUAUUUGCACCCCAUAAGGCAAGUGCUAAAGGGAAACCCGUACAAGAUUAGGGGGGGGGACAUCUUCUUCUCAAAUUC